CCGUUGGUGUAGGGGUAACACACAAUCUAAAUUUUGAACAUCCGGUAUAAUGCAAAGUUGAAUCCUGGGUUCGAAUCCCAGACGG